AAAAUGGGGAUCCGUACCUGAUCCGAGGUCACCUGGUUAAAAGAUUGGUUGCGAGGCUAGCUGCCAGCUGGACCUACGGGAGCGGGUGACAAAGCCCCAUACGCUCGAGGACCAGACAUGGUGCCGCCACUGCCUUUUGGGCCCGUCCCCGUUGCCAGGGACGGAAGCCCAACACACAAGCCGUGCUUGAGGGCAGCAAUGACGCUCGGACAGGCAUGCCCCCCGGAAUACCAGGGGGCGCAAUGUGCGUUCAAAGACUCGAUGAUUCACUGAAUUCUGCAAUUCACAUUAAUUAUCGCAUUUCGCUGCGUUCUUCAUCGAUGCCGGAACCAAGAGAUCCGUUGUUGAAAGUUUUAACGAAUGGUUAACUAAAAACUCAGACUGAAAAGUUCAUACAGCGUUCAAAUGUGAAUCUCCGGCGGGCCCGGAGGCAACUGAAACGGACCGGGAAGGUAGUGAAUAUAACGGGGGGGAGGUCGGAGCGGGUAGGGAUGCGCGCUGAACUGUGCGUAUGUAAAGCCGGAAAAACGGGCCCUCUGGGUCCAACCUCCAUCGUGUCUAUCUGUACCUGUUGCUUCGGCGUGGCCCGGCCCGCGGAGAAUAACAUUUGAACGCUGUCUGAAGUUUGCAGUCUGAGUUUUUAUUUAAACAAUCCUUAAAACUUUCA
rnacentral:misc_RNA from 1 species